GGACUACCAGGGUUUCUAAUCCUGUUUGCUACCCACGCUUUCGUGCCUCAGCGUCAGUUAUGGUCCAGAAAGCCGUUUACACCACCGGUGUUCCUCCUGAUAUCUACGCAUUUCACCGCUACACCAGGAAUUCCACUUUCCUCUCCCACACUCUAGUCCCGCAGUUUAUAGCGCACCCUCCCAGUUAAGCCGGGAGAUUUCACACCAUACUUACGGAACAGCCUACGCACCCUUUACGCCCAGUAACUCCGAACAACGCUUGCUGCCUACGUAUUACCGCGGCUGCUGGCAC
rnacentral:rRNA from 1 species